CAAACUGGAGAGUAUGAUCCUGGCUCAGAACGAACGCUGGCGGCGUGCCUUACACAUGCAAGUCGAACGGAAUUGAGGUGCUUGCA
rnacentral:rRNA from 1 species